UACGUGAAAGAAGAGGACAUCUUAAGAGUUCAUACAACCUGUUCAGUGCCAAACUGUUCACAUGAACAAAGAAACAGCAUUUUGGUUCAGUAAUUAGUUUGACCUAUAGGUCUCCUCAAAAUUCACCACAAAUGAGCUCCUCAGGCUCCUCAGUAAGAAAAUGGAUGGGCUCACGCUUCAAGCAGAUGAACACUCAACUUGCCUGACAGUCCUUGCAUUAUAAUUCUUGGUCAAACUCUAAGCAACCAGCAGUGGAUGGUGAGCAUUGAAGGUCACGUUGUAUGUGAGGGAACACAACUCAGCUUUGUCUGUGGCCGUACUGCUGUGUUUGCUUCAUGUGUGGACACUUUUUCUUUGGUGUCGUUUCUUGUGACUGAAGACAGAGAAAGCAAAAUUAAAAUGAUAUAUUGACAUCAACCCUGAACAAAUGUUCAAGGCCAAUCAAGGAAAAGCUACAUCCAAGAAGACUA